GCCGCGGGCGCGCCCCCGCUCUGCGCUGUCUCCUAUGGCGUCCGCCUCCGGGGCCAUGGCGAAGCACGAGCAGAUCCUGGUCCUCGACCCUCCUUCAGACCUCAAAUUCAAAGGUAGGCUGGCUGGGACGCGCCCGAGCGGGGCUGGGGCCGGCGGGCGGCGGCGGGGUGGACGGGCUGCGCUCCCCUCCCCCACGCCCGGACCGAACGUCGGAGCCGCGGCUCCGCUGCGUCCCUCCGCUCGGCGCCUCGGCGUCCGCCGCUGCCGGGCCGGGCUGCGGAGGGGAGGGGAGGGAGCCGGACGGACGCCGCGGAGGGCUCUGCCCGGAGCCGCCGCCAUCUUGCGGCCCACGGGGGCGCCGCGGGAGCCCGCCCGCGCCUUGCCCGCCCGCCCGCAUGGCGUCCUUGCCCCAGGGCGGCCGC
rnacentral:lncRNA from 1 species